CGCCGUCUAAAACCGUCUAAAGCAGUUGUCCACAAAUUUAGGGUAAGUCCUACCCAUACUUCUGUUAUGACAGAUGUUAACAUACACUGAUACCUUCAUGUUUCUCACAAGGAGUUAAAAAUAGAAUCACAGGGUUGCCAACUUUGGUCAGCUGGCUGCAGCGCCAUCUUCAAUUCGAGACAAGUAUGGACACACAUGCACGCGCAUUUAAAUGUAUGUAACAGUUUCAUUACAUUGAAAUUAGUCUGUAGGGUUUGCAAACUACUGAAUCGCUUUUGAUGCAGUUAAGUCUAGGUUUUUAAUGAAAUAAUAUAGAUUUGCCAUCAGAUUUCUUGCCUGAGUGUAAGUGUCACGCCAGAUGCGUAAGAACUGGCAGCCCCGACAUAAAUGUGUGCCUUUUUUUCAACUGCGUCGGAAAUGUAGGCCAGAAGGCAAAACUGGAAGCACUGGUCUUGCUUUGUGUGUAGCCUAACAUUACUACAAAGGCGAUAAUCGCGAGCUUGUCACUACCAGAUGCAGACAGCGGGUUAUUUGCGUGAUGUCAUCGAUUACGGAUAAUAUUAUAAGAUCGGCCAGCGCUACGAACGCAUCCAAUCCUUCUGAACUGAGGCUGCUGACCCAAGGGACAAGAACACGACAGUACUUUAUGGUACGUGUGAUCCAGUAUCGAUCAGACCGCAGAGGAGGUGGGACUCACGUCUGUAAAGGCUGUGAAAGGAUGCAGACACUGAACCUGAAUAAGUUGUGACUGCUGGGAAGGAGUAAGGAAGGAUUUCCAGUAGCAGGCCCCACAGGAUCCUCUGCGCUUGAGGUUUUGCUGUUUCAGUCUUUAUCUCCCUCCUGCUUGUUCUGAGCCCAUCCUUCUGACUGAAGGUUUAAAACACAUCUUCAGAAGGGAGGGAAAUAAAGACACAGAGCAGAAAUACAUCAUUUCCAGUGUCUCUGGCCAAGAGAGCAGGACGUCGAUGUCAGCAUGAGAGAGGAAUGGCAUAGCAGUGACAGAUUUCAAAAGCUGGAAUUUAAGGUUCCGCCACAUACUGCAACACCAUGUAUAUGCAAUAUCACAGUUAAUUUAUCAUGAUAUACCCUGACUUACAUGUACCAUAUGCCAUAUAUAGAUAGAUAGAUAGAUAGAUAGAUAGAUAGAUAGAUAGAUAGAUAGAUAGAUAGAUAGAUAGAUAGACAGACAGACACACACACACACACCAUUGAUCCCUGGGGGAAAUUCUUUAAAAUUAGCGGUCUAUCACUUUCCUGAUUGGAGACUCGAACCCUGAUCACUUGCAUGACUUUCAUGAGUGGGGAUACUUACCACUAUACUUGAAGUGAAUAAAUGGAUUAUGCAGCU